GGAGUGCGGACUGGCACAGUCAGGACCCUCAAGUUUGAGGAUGUCAGGUGACAUUAUCUUGUCUAAGCAAAAUGUCAAAUGCUCUCGCUGCCCAGUCUGUUGGAUCCCUUGGGACAACUGCUGGUGCUCUGGACCCUCAUGUCUGAACGAAGGACCCUGAUAGGCAGGGAGGAGAGAAAACGUCUGAAGGAAUGCCUAACUUAUGGAAGGAGAUCUGUCCAGCCUGUCGGUGUAUGCGGUGAACCUGCUUCCUCUGGGUGGAAUGUGACCAUCAGCACGCAACUCAGAGCUGCCGCCAUCCUCCCUGGAGGGAUGGAGAGCCUACAAGGCUCAUGGGGCUUCUGGGGGGAUGUAGGAGCCUUUAUGGCUAUUCUCUUAGAGGUCGCUCCCUCCUGAAAGGUUACAUAAGGAGUACGCAAUGGACUACGGUUGGGAAAGCGCUUGCAAGUUGCCCAGGGUGCUCUUGAGUUUCACAUUUUCCAGGCAUUGUGAUUCCCAUGUGGUGGGAAGGACCCCUCGAGGAGUAAAUAACUCCGAUGGACUUAUUGACAGGAUUGGAACAAUAAAGUCAGACAGAAUCUAUUCCGCAACAACUGGGACAAGAGGAUGUUUCUUUACAUCGCCCAAGAAAGUCACACAACAGUGGCAAUUCUUCCAUUAUUCAUACAGUAACUUCCAGAAUAAAUAAUGCAUCCUAGAUUAAUAAAGACCUUCUCAUAAACACU
ensembl:antisense Gm13944 predicted gene 13944